rnacentral:misc_RNA from 1 species
AAGUCGUAACAAGGUUUCCGUAGGUGAACCUGCGGAAGGAUCAUUAACACGUUUCCAAACGUUAACAACAACUUCGUGAACUUGUAACCUCCCUCUUCGACCAGAUGCGUGUACCGCCACAGAAGCCCAGUUUGUGGACAAACGAUCGGAAAAAUUAGCUAUUCAUUUAGCUAUUGAGUAUCCUCGGGGCUGCGGACACUGGAAUGCCGUUGAGCAAUCACAUCAGGUAGUUGCAGGCCAAUUUUAACCUUCCACUUCUAACCCCUUUAACCUGCAUCUUUUGGAUGCCGCGCUAUUUGACUGAUAUGACUAGUGCUUGACUGAACCGCUUGCGGUUUGGACCUUGUCUCUAUGUCAGAGUUAUGUAACUAAGCACAACUCUUAGCACCGGAUAUCUUGGUUCUC